rnacentral:rRNA from 1 species
AUACGGAGGGUGCAAGCGUUACUCGGAAUCACUGGGCGUAAAGCGCGCGCAGGCGGCUAUUUAAGUUGGAUGUGAAAGCCUACGGCUCAACCGUAGAACUGCAUCCAAAACUAUUUAGCUAGAGUGUGGGAGAGGAAGAUGGAAUUAGUUGUGUAGGGGUAAAAUCCGUAGAGAUAACUAGGAAUACCAAAAGCGAAGGCAAUCUUCUGGAACAGUACUGACGCUGAGGCGCGAAAGCGUGGGGAGCAAACAGGAUUAGAAACCCGUGUAGUCC